rnacentral:rRNA from 1 species
AAGGAGCUUGCUCCUUCGACGUUAGCGGCGGACGGGUGAGUAACACGUGGGCAACCUACCCUAUAGUUUGGGAUAACUCCGGGAAACCGGGGCUAAUACCGAAUCAUCUCUUAUGCUUCAUGGUAAAAGACUAAAAGACGGUUUCGGCUGUCGCUAUAAGAUGGGCCCGCGGCGCAUUAUCUAGUUGGUGAGGUAAUGGCUCACCAGGGCGACGAUGCGUACCCGACCUGAGAGGGUGAUCGGCCACACUGGGACUGAGACACGGCCCACACUCCUACGGGAGGCAGCAGUAGGGAAUCUUCCACAAUGGGCGAAAGCCUGAUGGAGCAACGCCGCGUGAGUGAAGAAGGUUUUCAGAUCGUAAAACUCUGUUGUAAGGGAAGAACAAGUACAGUAAUAACUGGCUGUACCUUGACGGUACCUUAUUAAAAAGCCACGGCU